GCCCGUUUAGCUCAGAGGUUAGAGCCAUCGCAUUUGUAAUGCGAUGGUCAUCGGUUCGACUCCGAUAGCUGGCU
rnacentral:tRNA from 2 species